UGAACCGACAACCUGCCAGCUGCAGGAAACGCCCCCUAAUUCCCUCCUCCCACUCUAACAAACUACCGUCUAAAUGCAGCUGUUGGUUUUACAUGUAAAGUUUGUGGCACUUCAAUGCAAAAUUUGGAGAAACCGUAGGUGGUAUGAAAAUAGUGUCUUCAAUUUUAAAACAAUAUGAUGGAUUUCUCUAAAAACAGAAAGUUAAACUGUGUUUCUACAUGAAAGUAUGACAACAUAGUAAAGCCUGAAAAACAGUGAAUUUAAAUUUCUAUGUCUUUAAUGGGGCAUAGAGUUGUAUUAUAUCUCUAAUUGUUGCUAUGGGAGGCCCCAACAAUUGUGUUUUUAAAAAUGUACACAAAUACACUUAAGAUGUUUAUUUUUGAACAGCUGCUAGGUAAUUAUGCGUCCGCAUGAUGCCAAAAUGAUUUCAUUCAAAUAUCAGCACUUAAGAUAUCCCUUAACAGACAUUUGAAAACCCACUUUCCAUAUAUUACGGCGAUAGAGAAGUACUUGCUUAAAUUUAUUACAGUUUUUGAGAUACUUUGCUCAGUAAGUGUGAAGAUGUUUUCCUGCAUUUGGAAAAAACAAAAGGUAUGAACCUGAUUCUUUGUGUAAUCUGCUGAUUUGACUUAAUGCACUAAGAUGAUUUCCACUCAAUUUGAUCGUAAUUUAGUUUGACUUGUUGCUACUAAUUUGUGAAAAGGUAACAUUAUCAAACUUUAAUAUCUGUUUUUACAACUUUUUAACAGAAAAGCCCUCCAGGGGAUGUACGCUCUGGAGAUGGUGAUAGCGCAAGUCUGCAGAAGAGGCUACAGAGAGAGGCAUGGUCUCCCAUUUCCACCACAACCCCUGAUAACAGCAAGGCUCCCAGGACUAGAAAAACCUCCUUCUGGCAACGCUGGUCUCUUCAUAACAAGAAAAGCCCUCCAGGGGAUGUACGCUCUGGAGAUGGUGAUAACGCAAGUCUGCAGAAGAGGCUACAGAGAGAGGCAUGGUCUCCCAUUUCCACCACAACCCCUGAUAACAGCAAGGCUCCCAGGACUAGAAAAACCUCCUUCUGGCAACGCUGGUCUCUUCAUAACAAGAAAAGCCCUCCAGGGGAUGUACGCUCUGGAGAUGGUGAUAGCGCAAGUCUGCAGAAGAGGCUACAGAGAGAGGCAUGGUCUCCCAUUUCCACCACAACCCCUGAUAACAGCAAGGCUCCCAGGACUAGAAAAACCUCCUUCUGGCAACGCUGGUCUCUUCAUAACAAGAAAAGCCCUCCAGGGGAUGUACGCUCUGGAGAUGGUGAUAGCGCAAGUCUGCAGAAGAGGCUACAGAGAGAGGCAUGGUCUCCCAUUUCCACCACAACCCCUGAUAACAGCAAGGCUCCCAGGACUAGAAAAACCUCCUUCUGGCAACGCUGGUCUCUUCAUAACAAGAUAAGCCCUCAAAGUGAUGUACGCUCUGGGAAUGGCGAAAGCUUAAGUCUUCAGAAGAGGUAAAGUUUUAUAACAAUCCUAAUUUGUUUCCACGUGGUUUUAAUUACUUUUUUUCCCCCUGCCACAAAUGACUUGGACAUCCAAAACCUGACAUUUUCUGCUUAUCUUACUGAUAUCAGCCAGCAGACAGAAGCACCAUCUCCUUCUACCAUCACAACCAGCGAGGCUCCUAGAACUAGAAAAACCUCCUUCUGGCAUUGUUGGCGUCUUCUUAACAAGAAAAAGCAGAGCCAUCUCCAACAAGAUGUGGACGCGGUCACAAUCCAUUCACCUUCAGUGACAGAAAUUAGGUAAAUUAAAACUUCAUCAACUGCAGUUUAAUAUUCUAUCAUCUAUUUUUAAGUUGUCGUUAUAGAGGUUUAUGCCACCACAGAAUUAAUUUUAUUUUUUUCUUUAUUUUACAGUUGUUGCACAAGUGAGAAGUCUCAGGGAGGAGAGACUGGUGUCGAGUUCAGGGCCUCACCUGUUCUUGACAGUCCUGUCUCUGCUCACCAUGAGCCGCAUCUCCAAGUAGUCCCACAAUGCUCCACCACUAUACAAUGCACUGGUGAUUUUGGGGAUGUCGAAGAUGGAGGACUGGAUGGUUUUCCUGCAUCUUCCAGAGAAGGAGACUCCCAAACUGGCCAGAACAGCAGAGUGGAAGAGACUGUCUUGUCCUCUACUGCCACAGCACAGAUCAUAAACAACCAAGAGGACUGCAAAGAAAGCGAGGCUGAUGUCCAAGACAACAUCCAACCUGCGUCUGAAAGUCAAGACAAGACUCCCGAGAAAGAUUGCCCUUGAAGAGCUAACGCACCUGCCAUCAGGGCUUGCAAAAUGAGUCACAUUUCUUUAACUUUUCCACAUAUAGUCACAUUACAAACAAAAAAUACAAAUACAUUUUAUUGGAGUGUUAUGUGAAAGACAAAGUGGUAUACAACUGUGAUGUAGCAAGAAACUAAUACAUGGUCUCUUUUUUUAACAAAUAAAAAACUGAAAAGAGCAACGUGCAAAAGUAUUCAGCAUCCCCCAGUAAAUAUUUCUUGGAACCGCGUUGUGCGGUAAUUACAGCUGCAAGUCUCUGCCAGUUUUCCACGUCUUGUGACUGAAAUUUUUGGCCAUUCUUCUUUGCAAAUCAGUUCAAGCACAGU